GAAAAGAAGCUUUAUUCCAUCUUUCUGAUAUUCGUUAAGUGUAGAGCAAAGAAAGGCUAUAAAAAGGGUGUUAUGGGCUUCAACUCGUUACUGCAAGGAAGGAGAGCGCAUACAACUGUUGAUCGACCUCAUUAUUAUACUGCUCAAGAUCUUGUUCUGCCAUUGUCACAGGAACAAUGCAAAGUCAAUUAAGGAAAGGGGAUCAAGACUCAAAACGAGUUGGAGCUUCUUUGCAAACUAAAAACAAGGACAUGAAGACUAAAGGAGGGGAAAAACAAAAAGACUCAAAAGUAGUGGAAGCUUCUUUGGAAAAUAAAGUUAAGGACUUGAAGAUCGAAGAAGGAGAAAAACAAAAAGAAAAGAAGAAAGAUAUAGAGAAGGGUGAAAAGAAAGAAAAUGAACAUGAUAAGGAGAAGAAGAAAGAAAAGCCAAAGAAGGAAAAAGAUAAACAACACAAGGAUCAUGACAAUGAAAACAAGGAAAAGAACAAAGAAAAGAAGGACAAGAAUAAGGAUAAUGAAAAGAAAAAAGAUAAAGAAAAGGAAAAGCCCAAAGAAGAAAAGGAAAAACAUAAGGAGCAUAAGGUAAAGUGAAAAUCAUAUCAGAUGAUGAAAUAUUAUACUAUGUUAUAAGAAAGAUCAAGAUAGUAUUGUUGAUCUUUACAAAGUUCAUCAAAAGGCUUGACCAUAUUAUUAUAUAGAACAUUUGUAAUAAAUUUCUAUAAAACUUCAUUGUUUUUAUAUAUUGGUAAUUAAUAAAAUGCAUGGUUUCAAGAAAAAAA